CUUUUAUAGUCUCCCUGUUGGUCUGUCAAUGAUUGAUGCUUGUUGAGCGUCAUUUGUCUACAGUAUACCUGCUUGUAGAGUUGCGUGGGUGAUGAAUGUUGUUGUUUCAAUGUUUGAUGUCAGUGGCUUGGAUGGGUGUUUCCUAGUGGCAUAGGGUUUGCCCCGGUUGUACCCUGUCGCUUCUCAUUCCGGUGUGCAUUAUGUGUGGUGGUGGGGAAGGGGGGGGGGUUGUGUUGCUUCCAGUCUAGGAAGUCCGUGUUACUGUCGGUGGUUCUAUUCUGUUUAUGUCUGUAUGGGUUUUUGCGUGUCCCAUG